rnacentral:sRNA from 1 species
GGCCCUGCCUGGUUGCCAUAGUAAUCUCCAGGGAGUUGCUUGGCACUGAGAGCUUUCCUUGGGCCUGGGAUGUAGGCUCCAGGUCUAAAACUGUCCAGCUCCCAAAGCAUUUGUAAAAGAAAGAGGUGUCUGAACGAAUGUCUGUCAAAGAUGAGGAAUGGAAUGAAGAGCAAAUUGAGAUUGAAGACAUCUCACACAUCCAGGAGCACCGCUGCCUAGCGAUGUUGGCUCUCUGUUUUUUCUUUCCACUAGGCUACUUAGCUUACCGCUCAAGUCAAAAGACAAGACUGUACAAGGAACAGAAGGAGUACGAGAAGGCCAAAGCCACCUCCAAAUUCACCUUCAUUUAUAUUUUGAGCUCCAUCACUGGAGGGUCCAUCAUCCUUUUCUGUUUAUUAUUCCGACUCUUCUAUAUGUAACCUCUGUCAUGGCCCAUGACACGUCCAUCAGAUACAUACAUCAGUGCAAGUGAGCCUGCCUGCCGCUUUGGAUUCCCUGGACCCCUUCCCUUUAAUGUGUGAAAGUGCCGGGCUGAAUGAGAUCAGAAAUAAAUUUUGUAACAACAAUGA